rnacentral:rRNA from 1 species
AGAGUUUGAUCCUGGCUCAGAACGAACGCUGGCGGAGUGCUUAAUACAUGCAAGUCGUGCGAGAAAGUAGCCUUCGGGCUGCGAGUAGAGCGGCGAACGGGUGAGUAACACGUAAGCAACCUACCUCUAAAUUUGGAAUAACCUUGCUAACGCGGGGCUAAUACCGGAUGUGAUCAUGAUUACUCAUGUUGUCAUGAUUAAAGGUGACCUCUAUUUAUAAGUCACUGUUUAGAGAUGGGCUUGCGGCCCAUUAGCUAGUUGGUGAGGUAACGGCCCACCAAGGCUUCGAUGGGUAGCCGACCUGAGAGGGUGUACGGCCACAUUGGGACUGAGAUACGGCCCAGACUCCUACGGGAGGCAGCAGUAGGGAAUUUUGCGCAAUGGACGAAAGUCUGACGCAGCAACUCCGCGUGAGGGAUGAAUGCCUUCGGGUUGUAAACCUCUGUUGAGUGGGAAGAAAGUGUUUUGUAGUAACAUAUAAAACAUUGACGGUACCAUUCGAGGAAGCUCCGGCUAACUACGUGCCAGCAGCCGCGGUAAUACGUAGGGAGCAAGCGUUGUUCGGAAUCACUGGGCGUAAAGGGAGCGUAGGUGGAAAGGUAAGUUAGAAGUGAAAUACAGCGGCUUAACCGUUGACUUGCUUUUAAUACUGCUUUUCUUGAGUAUGGGAGAGGAAGAUGGAAUUCCCGGUGUAGCGGUGGAAUGCGUAGAUAUCGGGAAGAACACCAGUUGCGAAGGCGGUCUUCUGGCCCAAUACUGACACUGAGGCUCGAAAGCUAGGGGAGCGAACAGGAUUAGAUACCCUGGCAGUCCUAGCCGUAAACGAUGGACACUAGAUGCUGGAGCUGUCAUGGCUUCAGUGUCGUAGCUAACGCGUUAAGUGUCCCGCCUGGGGAGUGCGCUCGCAAGGGUGAAACUCAAAGGAAUUGACGGGGGCCCGCACAAGCGGUGGAGCAUGUGCUUUAAUUCGAUGCAACGCGAAGAACCUUACCUGGUCUUGACAUGAGAAUGAAAGCCUUUAGAGAUAGAGGCCCUUCCGCAAGGAACAUUCUACACAGGUGCUGCAUGGCUGUCGUCAGCUCGUGUCGUGAGAUGUUGGGUUAAGUCCCGCAACGAGCGCAACCCCUAUCCUUAGUUGCCAUCAGGUAAUGCUGGGAACUCUAAGGAGACUGCCUGGUUUAACCAGGGGGAAGGUGGGGAUGACGUCAAGUCCUCAUGGCUCUUACGACCAGGGCCAGACACGUGCUACAAUGGCUGGUACAACGGGAUGCAAACUCGUGAGUGUAAGCUAAUCCCUUAAAACCAGUCUCAGUUCGGAUUGGAGUCUGCAAUUCGACUCUAUGAAGUUGGAAUCGCUAGUAAUCGCGGAUCAGCAUGCCGCGGUGAAUACGUUCCCGGGCCUUGUACACACCGCCCGUCAAGCCAUGAAAGAUGGUAGUACCCCAAGCCGUUUAUCUAACCGUAAGGAGGAAAACGUCUAAGGUAAGAUCAUUGAUUGG